rnacentral:rRNA from 1 species
AGCUUGUUGGUGGGGUACUCGCCUACCAAGGCGACGACGGGUAGCCGGCCUGAGAGGGCGACCGGCCACACUGGGACUGAGACACGGCCCAGACUCCUACGGGAGGCAGCAGUGGGGAAUAUUGCACAAUGGGCGAAAGCCUGAUGCAGCGACGCCGCGUGAGGGAUGACGGCCUUCGGGUUGUAAACCUCUUUCAGCAGGGAAGAAGCGAAAGUGACGGUACCUGCAGAAGAAGCGCCGGCUAACUACGUGCCAGCAGCCGCGGUAAUACGUAGGGCGCAAGCGUUGUCCGGAAUUAUUGGGCGUAAAGAGCUCGUAGGCGGCUUGUCACGUCGGAUGUGAAAGCCCGGGGCUUAACCCCGGGUCUGCAUUCGAUACGGGCUAGCUAGAGUGUGGUAGGGGAGAUCGGAAUUCCUGGUGUAGCGGUGAAAUGCGCAGAUAUCAGGAGGAACACCGGUGGCGAAGGCGGAUCUCUGGGCCAUUACUGACGCUGAGGAGCGAAAGCGUGGGGAGCGAACAGGAUUAGAUACCCUGGUAGUCCACGCCGUAAACGUUGGGAACUAGGUGUUGGCGACAUUCCACGUCGUCGGUGCCGCAGCUAACGCAUUAAGUUCCCCGCG